rnacentral:rRNA from 1 species
UACGGGGGGAGCAAGCGUUGUUCGGAUUUACUGGGCGUAAAGGGCGCGUAGGCGGUCAGCACAAGUCAGUUGUGAAAUCUCCGGGCUUAACUCGGAAAGGUCAACUGAUACUGUGCGACUAGAGUGCAGAAGGGGCAUCUGGAAUUCUCGGUGUAGCGGUGAAAUGCGUAGAUAUCGAGAGGAACACCUGCGGCGAAGGCGGGUUGCUGGGCUGACACUGACGCUGAGGCGCGAAAGCUAGGGGAGCGAACGGG